rnacentral:rRNA from 1 species
GGACUACUCGGGUAUCUAAUCCCGUUUGCUCCCCUGGCUUUCGCGCCCUCAGCGUCAAUGCCGGUCCAGGAUGCCGCCUUCGCCACCGGUGUUCCUCCAGAUAUCUACGCAUUUCACCGCUACACCUGGAAUUCCGCAUCCCUCUCCCGGAUUCAAGCUCGCCAGUAUCAGACGCAGUUCCAUGGUUGAGCCAUGGGAUUUCACGUCUGACUUAGCAAGCCGCCUACGCGCCCUUUACGCCCAGUAAUUCCGAACAACGCUCGCCCCCUCUGUAUUACCGCGGCGGCUGGCAC